CUUCAUUGUCUACCUUCCAGCCGCACUCUCCAUCUGCAUUUCUUCCUUUCAGUAGUCAAUAAAAAUCUUUUCCCCCUCCGUCGCUGCCUCUACUCCGUCGUGCAGUCCUCGGUUCCUCCGAGGAGAAUGCGGCAUACUCUUGAUGUUUUUCUCUGCAUCGUGAUGGCAAAUUAUGUUUCGGAGCUGCUGCAUUAUCCGGUCAGGUACUGCAAGAUCCAUCUAGGCUGUCCCCAUUGCGCAUUUUAUCACAACAUCUCAUGAUUGUUCCGGAAAAGGUCGCCCACAUGAAACCCAUAUCUCCCUAUCCCAAUUGCAAGGGAAAUCCCCCCUUAAAUCGGCAUGUAAGAACUAAUUCACGCCAAAUUUGACUAGCUCUCUCGUAUGCGUUACGCGAGUGUGCCACUGCUCGUGCUUUUAUCCAAUUUCGAUUUUAUGCAAAAUUUGUUUGAGUUACCGGAAUUAUGCUAUAUUUUUUUAGAUGUGAUUGGUAGUUAUAAUUAAUUAAGCAAAGGUGGAUAGUAUUUUUUUUUAUGGAAGAAAACGGCAGAAUUUUCAAGAAUUUUGGUUCUUUUGCUUCAUAAAAAUGGGAGAAUGAACAAGAAUAGGGUCUUAUAUAGGAAAAAUAAAAACGAUUAUAAUGUGAGACUUUCGCUUAAAUAAUAAUAUACAAUAGAGUUUUUAAAAUUCAAAUCCUCCUCCUCCUCCUUGUUUUUCACUAUAGAUAUUCCUCGUGGUGGACUUGUGUCUUGAUAGUGAUAAGGUAAUUCAUAUCGGAUCGGAUCGAACCCGCCACCCGUCGACCCAUAGAGAACCAAAGAGAAUCCCCAGACCCCCCGUAGCACAGUCCAAUACCGAUGGGCAGCAUACGCAAUAGAGAAAACUCGACGGAACCUAUCAUUAGAGAAAGGCCCCGUCGAGCCCUUUUGGGAAAGGGGUCGACGAGCCCUUAUUCACCAUGUGUACAUGUGGGAUUAAGUUGGAACAACAAUUUAUUGAAACUCGGAGCUAGUCACACCAUAAAUCUAAAUUUAGAAUUACUUUUUAAUUAUCAAAGAGAUUCAUAGUCCUCAAAUAAAUUAAUGAUAUAAAAUUACGUAUGAUUCAUUGUCUCUAAUAUGAUAUUUUUAAUUGGAAGGAAAUAAUUGAAAAUUAAUCUUAAUUCUACUCAAUGAAGAGAUAAAAAGUGAUAGUAUUUGGUAAAAUUUUAUCUUCUUAAUCCAAUAGGAUUAGCUUGAUCGUUAAGGAAUGCAAUGUCCUUGAAAUGACCCAAGUUUUAAGUCAUAUGAGAUCAUAUAAGAGAAUACCUCCUCAUUGGACCACUUUCACGACUUGUGUGAUCAAACUUACCUGACUUGUGAGCUUUUUUUGGAAGUUCACAUGAGUCGUGGAUAUUAUUUUGACGAAACUUGAACACUUUUCGUUAUAAAAAAAUAUUACUCUUUUCUUUUUAUUCAGUUAAAAAAAAAUCAUGGAUCUCAUUUUAAAAAAUUGAAUUGAAAUGAAAUUUUUAUAUAAAAAAUACAGUCAUACAAAUUAUUAUAUUGAAGAGAAUCAAACCAGAACUUUUUAGAUUUGGUGUGUAUGGCUGUCCCCGUAUCUCCCUUCCCUGUCCUUUUUCAUCUAGACAUGACGAAAUUCCCACUUUUAUUAGGUUAAAAUAAAUUUUUUUUGGAUAGCAGGAUAAGAGAAGAUAGAUCCGCAGUCAAGUCAUCGAGAUAUAUUUUGUGGACUUGGAUUGGGCCCCACUUUGGGGCGGCUCCUUGCUUUGAGUGGAAGCAAACCUCCCUCCACCGCCAAUUUCAUUCUUAAUACACAAAAUUAUCCCAAAAUUCAAUUCUUUUCAAUUCAGAUAUAUAUAUUCGACCAAAAAAGAUAAAGUGUAUAUGUGCGUUUAAAUUAAAUAUUAAGAAAAAGACAUCGCUCAAUCUUUGAUUGGCUCUACAAGUAACAUGUUGUUGGAUGUUUUUAGUUCGGUAUAUUACUCAUUGGAUACGAAGUCAAUGAAAUAGAUACGAAGUCACCAAAUAGAGUAAGCACAAAUACAAUGUAGCAGCAUUUCAAAGUUCCAAUUAUAACUCUCUACUAUCACACGUAGACCCCGGCUAAACUGGGGGAGGGUCCUCAAGUCAUAUUCCAUGUAGAACUUAGCCAUCUGGUGUCGAUAUUCAUAAGAGACAUCAAUACCAGAGCAAAGCAGAGGGAGUCUUGAACCAUACUCAAGCGUCGGGAGCCCUUCAUAGAAUUGCCAUGACAUGUAGAAUCACAGCCUAGGCUAGGAAGGAUUGUUAACCAAUCCGGCAAGUCGAAAAGACACCAAGUUGCCAACCAAUACGACGGCGCUGAGGAAAGUAGUCAACCAACUGGCAGAGUCAAACCAAGAACCACUAAGUCACUUUUGUAAGUUCAAACCAAUGACCACAUCAAAAAGCCUAAGGAGCCAAUCCCGAGCAGUCAAACUAAAUAACUUAACAAUCUCAGUUCGCUCAGACCAGCGACUGAGCUUGGGAAAACGCUAGGUUGCCAAACAAACUAGCCUCUGCCACUAUACUUUUACAACUAGACAAACAAUACAACCGGAUAGGCUCGAGGAGCCCCGAGCAAACACAUGAGACAAAAAAUGGUCCAGUCGUCAGAGAAAAAGGCAUCAUAGUGGACCAAUUUUACCUAAGGGAGGCAAUUCCUUAACGUAAAGGGGUGGAUGGGCACUGGGUGGAGCGGUAAGUCGAAGACUAAGAAACCGCCCCAUUUUAUUACCGACACCGCAGAAGAAAAUAGAGUGUCAUUCGCACCGCUCGGAAACUAAGCUACCGGAGAGGGAUCGGGCGCGACCUCAACGGGAAGGAGAAGUUGCCACCACACGCAACCAUCGGAGACCGAGAGGAGGGGGGACGGCCCCUGCGACCAUUGAGACGCCGUGCGCACUAUCUCCAUUGUAGGCAGACCUGUACGCUGACCCAAUGAUCUGAUUCGAUGAUCCGACCCGAUCCCAUCGACCCCAUCAGGAACCCAGAAUCGAGUAGUCGUAAUGAGCAAGACCCGCCCAUAGCUAGUCGGAUUAACUUAGUUUCGACUAGAUCUAAGCUAGGUUCCACCAUGUUUGGUCUAAACAAGCAUGAUCCAUCCAUGUCUAGAGUGAAAGAGUGCGAGUCGACCAUCGAGAAGGGGGUGGCACUGAUCAAAUCGCAGGGGCAAACCACUAGAAGGGAAGGGUGGAGGUUACAAAGCAUGGUGGGCCAUUUGUGUGUGUGUGUGUGGGGGGGGGGGGAUGACUCUCAACAGCUAGAGAAGACCAAGAGAAGACGUCGGAAGCUGGGCGGAGACGGGAGCCACACACUAAGAACCGAUGAUCGGAGAAAAAAGAAAACGACAAUGAAAGGAGACCAUGAGGGAAGGGAUGGGAGAAGAAACAUGAAAAGGGGGGAAAGAGAGAAAGCCGCCGGAUGCGUCGAUGGCGAUUGCUGCUGCUCGGUUUUAGGGUUUGGUCAAGAGAGUAAAGAGAAAAGUAGGAGGAAAAGAAAGCUUUCGCCGUGUCAGAAUUAUUAAAUAUUAUAUUUAUUCAUAAA